GUUUGGACCUGACUCUGUUUGACAGCCCCUUAUUAGGAAGGGUUUUUUUUAUCCUGCUCGUAACUGCUUGGCGUUUUGCAAUAUUUGGCAUUUGCCAGUGUCAGGUUGUAAGUGGAUCUUGCUUAAAAGGCUAUCAAGAAGCAUUAAAAUUUGGUCCAGGGCACAAACACUUGAAUGUUUGCUGCUUUUUAUAGUUCUUCAGUCUUACUGGUAAAGCACAUGAACCUAAUCAUGAUAUGGGAUGCAUGCAACUGCAAUGAACUGUUUCUGCACUUCUGAAGAGAAAUCUGAACGUCAGAUGAGACUAGUGCUGUGAACCAAAGAGCUGUAUAGGAAAAUCGCUCGCUGACAUUUCCACAAGAGUAACAAUCGUAAUAACACACACACAAAAUUUGCCGGUCAGCCAAGGACUUGGCAGCACACCAAGGAAGCGAAUUACAGGCCUACCAAUUGAAGAACUCUGCUGUUUUCCAAAGACACCUGCUCUAGCGGCUCUCAGAUCAAUUACAGCAGCAGAGGCACAUGCAACAGCAGCAACUCAGUGACCCUACAGUUAGAGAAUUAUACUUCUAAAACUGUAAUUAUAUGAAACAUAGUUUAAAUAGUUCCCAAUGAUGUAAAAGAUUGUACAUCCUCACAAAAUUACUUAUACAGUCAUUAGUAAGCCCUUCCAUUUUUAUGUUUAAACACAAUUUCUUUCUUGCUUGAAGUGG
rnacentral:lncRNA from 1 species